AUGUGCUGCCAUGGGCGCGCAGGCGCGAUGCUGUAUGGUCGUCGGGCUGCCAUGCAACACUCGUCGGCGUUGUCGGUGCUGCAACGGCUGUCGCCUGCAUCCGUCAAGGCGUCCUCACCGGCCACGGCUAUUGCAACGCAACAUUGGAGAAAGUUGUGUGCUGCGAGGGGCACGGAGGCGCGAUGCUGCAAGUCGGCAUCGUGGAAGCAUAGUGGAAGCGAUCGGGCGCGCCUGUCGCAGCAUCGCCAUGGCCGUCGAAGGCUCGAAGCACACCGUCACAACAUCAUCGACGCAGCCGACUGCCGUCGCAGCAUCGUCAAAGCAAUCUGGCGACCGUUGCAGCAUCGCGAUGGCUGUCGAAGCACACCGCUGCGCCAUGUCGCUCCAUUGUGGACUGUCAUUUAG
rnacentral:rRNA from 1 species